UGGUGACUAUAGCAAGGAGGUCACACCUGUUCCCAUGCCGAACACAGAAGUUAAGCUCCUUAGCGUCGAUGGUAGUCGAACUUACG
rnacentral:rRNA from 2 species